GUUGAUAUGGCCGAGUUGGUCUAAGGCGCCAGAUUAAGGCUCUGGUGCGAAAGGGCGUGGGUUCAAAUCCCACUGUGAACA
rnacentral:tRNA from 1 species